CCGCGCUAAGCGGGGAGCUGGCGAUGCCCUGUACCUGCGAUCGCCUAGCAGGGCCUAGAUCCCCGCCCGAGGCGGUCCGUGUUCGGUAGAUACCGGUGACCGCGGCGUUGAUGGCUGGGUCCCGGGCAAUGAGGCCCCGUGAACCGUGUCAGGACCGGGAGGUAGCAGCACUAAGCGGGUAUCCUCAUGUGCUACGGGGUAGCUCGGCCGGAGCUAGCAGCCGGAGAAUCGCCGGGUUCGGGCUCGUCGACGGCGGGGUGCGCGG
rnacentral:SRP_RNA from 1 species